GGGAUUGCCCUAGUAACGGCGAGUGAAGCGGCAACAGCUCAAAUUUGAAAUCUGGCCCCCUAGGGGGUCCGAGUUGUAAUUUGCAGAGGGUGCUUUGGCGUUGGCAGCGGUCUAAGUUCCUUGGAACAGGACGUCACAGAGGGUGAGAAUCCCGUACGUGGUCGCCAGCCUCCGCCGUGUAAAGCCCCUUCGACGAGUCGAGUUGUUUGGGAAUGCAGCUCUAAAUGGGAGGUAAAUUUCUUCUAAAGCUAAAUACUGGCCAGAGACCGAUAGCGCACAAGUAGAGUGAUCGAAAGAUGAAAAGCACUUUGGAAAGAGAGUCAAAAAGCACGUGAAAUUGUUGAAAGGGAAGCGCUUGCAGCCAGACUUGCCUGUAGUUGCUCAGCCGGGCUCCGGCCCGGUGCACUCUUCUGCGGGCAGGCCAGCAUCAGUUCGGGCGGCCGGAUAAAGACCUCUGUCACGUACCUCCCUCCGGGGAGGACUUAUAGGGGAGGUGAAAUGCGGCCAGUCCGGACUGAGGUCCGCGCAUCUGCUAGGAUGCUGGCGUAAUGGCUGUAAGCGGCCCGUCUUGAAACACGGACCAAGGAGUCUAACAUCUAUGCGAGUGUUUGGGUGUCAAGCCCGAGCGCGUAAUGAAAGUGAACGGAGGUGGGAACCCCUCGGGGUGCACCAUCGACCGAUCCUGAUGUCUUCGGAUGGAUUUGAGUAAGAGCAUAGCUGUUGGGACCCGAAAGAUGGUGAACUAUGCUUGAAUAGGGUGAAGCCAGAGGAAACUCUGGUGGAGGCUCGCAGCGGUUCUGACGUGCAAAUCGAUCGUCAAUUUGGGCAUA
rnacentral:rRNA from 1 species